rnacentral:misc_RNA from 1 species
UUAAUCUUGUAUAAUUUUGUAAUCCAUUCGAGUACGAAGGGCAUGAAUUCAUCUGGCAAGAUGUUUGGCCUAUGGGAUGUCAGUACAAUGGCCUACACCUGUGUUGUUGUAACUGUCAAUUUACGUCUCCUUAUGAUGUGCAACACAAUUACAAGAUGGCAUCACAUUAGCGUUGGAGGGAGCAUAUUAUUAUGGUUCAUUUUUGUAUUUAUCUACUCGGGUAUCCACUUGCACAAAGAACAGGAGGGUAUCUAUUUAGUCAUCAUUGUUCUGAUAAGCACAUUAUACUUCUACCUUGCGCUGCUUCUCGUACCAGUUGCUGCACUUUUUGUUGACUUCCUAUAUCAGGGGGUACAAAGAUGGUUUUCCCCAUACGAUUACCAGAUUGUUCAGGAAAUUCACAAGCACGAAAUCGACAACAGCAGGAUUGGUUUAUUAGAGAUCCGUAACGAGCUUUCUCCAGAUGAAGAAAGGAGAUACGCCAUAAUGCAACUUCCUGGACAGAGAUCAAAACAUACUGGUUUUGCUUUUGAUUCACCCGGUUAUGAGUCAUUUUUCGCAUCUCAGGCUGGCGUGUUGGCACCUCAGAAGGCGUGGGACGUUGCUCGGAGAGCAAGCAUGAUGAAAUCAAGACCAAAGGUACCUAAAAAGAGCUGAGUUCCCUAAAAUUUUGUACAAAUUUUCUUCUUUAACCUUUCUUCUCUCCUAUACAGCUUUUAACAGCUACGUAGAAUUAUUUCACUCUCAUUCUUCG